UACGUAGGGUGCAAGCGUUGUCCGGAAUUAUUGGGCGUAAAGAGCUCGUAGGCGGUUUGUUGCGUCGGCUGUGAAAUCCCGAGGCUCAACCUCGGGUCUGCAGUCGAUACGAGCAAACUAGAGUGUUGCAGGGGAGACUGGAAUUCCUGGUGUAGCGGUGAAAUGCGCAGUUAUCAGGAGGAACACCGGUGGCGAAGGCGGGUCUCUGGGCAGCAACUGACGCUGAGGAGCGAAAGCGUGGGGAGCGAACAGG
rnacentral:rRNA from 1 species